CCUAGGAUCAUGAAACUUCAUAGGUACAUUGAUUAUGACUCGCAGAUGACCCCUAUUGAUUUUGAGGUCACUAGGUCAAAGGUCAAGGUCACGGUGACCAGAAAUAGUAAAAUGGUUUUUGAAUGAUAACUCAAGAACGCAUACGCCUAGGAUCAUGAAACUUCAUGGGUAGAUUGAUCAUGACUUGCAGAUGACCCCUAUUGAUUUUGAGGUCACUAGGUCAAAGGUCAAGGUCACGGUGACCUGAAAUAGUAAAAUGGUUUCUGGAUGAUAACUCAAGAAAGCAUAUGCCUAGGAUCAUGAAACUUCAUGGGUAGAUUGAUCAUGACUCGCAGAUGACCCCUAUUGAUUUUGAGGUCACUAGGUCAAAGGUCAAGGUCACGGUGACCGGAAAUAGUAAAAUGAUUUUCGGAUGAUAACUCAAGAACGCUUAUGCCUAGGAUCAUGACACUUCAUAGGUACAUUGAUCGUGACCCGCAGAUGACCCCUAUUGAUUUUCAGGUCACUAGGUCAAAGGUCAAGGUCACAGUGACAAAAAUCGUAUUCACAAAAUGGCUGCCACUACAACUGACAGCCCAUAUGGGGGGCAUGCAUGUUUUACAAACAGCCCUUGUUUGCAUACUUGUUUACCAACAUGACCCCAACCUAUAAACAAGAGCAGACAACUCUAUCAAGCAUUUUGUCUUAAUUAUGGCCCCUUUUCCACUUAGAAUAUGCAGCAAAUGUUGAAGUUUGUGUACAACCCCAAAUAUUGUCAAUGUCCCGUGACAUAUUGCUUUCAUAUUUUGCAUACUUGUUAACCAUCAUGACCCCAACCUAUAAACAAGAGAAUACAACUGUAUCAAGCAUUUUGACAGAAUUAUUGCCCCUUUUAAACUUAGAAUAUGCAUAUUAUUGAUAAAUCUAUGUUAAACUUUGCGUACUACCCCAAAUAUUUCCUAUAUCCUUUGACAUAUUGCUUUUAUAUUUUGCAUACUUGUUUACCAACAUGACCCCAACCUAUAAACAAGAGCAGACAACUCUAGCAAGCAUUUUGUCAUAAUUAUGGCCCCUUUUCCACUUAGAAUAUGCAGCAAAUGUUAAAGUUUGCGUACUACCCCAAAUAUUUUCAAUGUCCCUUGACAUAUUGCUUUCAUAUUUUGCAUACUUGUUAACCAUCAGGACCCCAACCUAUAAACAAGAGCAUACAACUGUAUCAAGCAUUUUGACAGAAUUAUUGCCCCUUUUAUACUUAGAAUAUGCAUAUUAUUGAUAAAUCUAUGUUAAACUUUGCGUACUACCCCAAAUAUUUCUUAUAUCCUUUGACAUAUUGCUUUUAUAUUUUGCAUACUUGUUUACCAACAUGACCCCAAGCUAUAAACAAGAGCAGACCACUGUAUCAAGCAUUUGACAUACCGUAAAUCCAUGAAUAUAAUACACCCUCGUGUAUAAUACGCACCCCCGAGUUUGGUAAAAAUUUAAAAUCCGAGUAAAAUACUCACUAAAAAAUCAGUGUCCGAAAUCGGCCAUUUCCGAAAGAAUUUGUCAAUAUAGUUUUGUGUUGUGAAAAUAGCAAAUCAAUUUGGUGUUGUCAACUAUUUGUUUCACAGUAAUACCCCAGUAUAUUGAUCGGGAUGUGUUAUAGUGCUGUUGUCAUAACAGUUGCAUAAUAAAUAUCUCUGUCAAUUGUUUAUAUUACAUUGAUUGUUACCGAUAACACACGGGCACCUUUCUGACAUCCGGGUCAAGAAGUCAUAAUUGCAAAAGAAAGAAGCAGAGACGCUGUCUUUUCUUUUCACAUUUAAUUAAAUUUGACAAUAUUCAGGACGAUAAUAAUUAUAAUAAUGAUAAAGUAAUAAGAAGACAAAAGGAUUACUUCCGUUUUUAUAGUUGUCUAGAUGAAUUACUUUUCCGAAGUGUUACAAACUCAAUACUUUUAUUAAACUUAAAAUACAAUUAAACCGCUCGUGUUUUUCAUUAUCUCUUUAAUUAAAACACACUGCUGUCAUUAAGGCUAGUUUGGGAGUAAAAAACAAAUUAAUUAUCACCUUUCAAUUUAAUUCGGCAAUCGGCAGAAAGGUGUAAAAGACUAUUAGCAUCAUAAAACUAAUUAUUUAAUUACCACUCUUAACUUCAGAUUUGGUAAAUAUGCGGUAGAAAGAUAAAUAGUGAUCACAUUUUAUUAUUACUUUAACAAAACAACACUUACCUGAAUACCACAAUGGAUUCCACCCAAGCAAUACCCCGCGCCCCUACCCAGAUUCCCCCCCCCCCCCAAAAAAAAAGAUUUUUUUUGUUAAACAUCAUCUAAUA